rnacentral:rRNA from 1 species
UACGUAGGUGGCAAGCGUUGUCCGGAAUUAUUGGGCGUAAAGCGCGUGUAGGCGGCUUUGCAAGUCGGGUGUGAAAGCCCUCAGCUCAACUGAGGAAGUGCGCCCGAAACUGCAGAGCUUGAGUACCGGAGAGGAUGGCGGAAUUCCCCAAGUAGAGGUGAAAUUCGUAGAUAUGGGGAGGAACACCGGUGGCGAAGGCGGCAACCUGGUCCUUGACUGACGCUGAGGUGCGAAAGCUAGGGGAGCGAACAGG